UACGUAGGGCGCAAGCGUUGUCCGGAAUUAUUGGGCGUAAAGAGCUCGUAGGCGGCUUGUCACGUCUGCUGUGAAAUCCCGGGGCUCAACCCCGGGCGUGCAGUGGAUACGGGCUGGCUAGAGGCAGGCAGGGGAGAACGGAAUUCCCGGUGUAGCGGUGAAAUGCGCAGAUAUCGGGAGGAACACCGGUGGCGAAGGCGGUUCUCUGGGCCUGUACUGACGCUGAGACGCGAAAGCGUGGGGAGCGAACAGG
rnacentral:rRNA from 1 species